AACCCCUCUACUUAGUGCCCUUCGCAAUGCCCGAAAGGGUGACGAAGCGACGCCGCGUGCGGGAGGAAGGCCUUCGGGUUGUAAACCGCUGUCGGGAGUUAAGAAAUGCAAGGAUGUUAAUAGCGUUCUUGCUUGACUAAGGCUCCGGAGGAAGCCACGGCUAACUCUGUGCCAGCAGCCGCGGUAAUACAGAGGCGGCAAGCGUUGUUCGGAAUUAUUGGGCGUAAAGAGCACGUAGGCGGCUGUGUAAGUCGGUUGUGAAAGCCUUCCGCUCAACGGAAGAACGGCAUCCGAUACUGCAUGGCUUGAGUGUGGGAGGGGAGAGUGGAACUUCUGGUGGAGCGGUGAAAUGCGUAGAUAUCAGAAGGAACACCGGCGGCGAAGGCGACUCUCUGGUCCAUAACUGACGCUGAGUGUGCGAAAGCUAGGGGAGCAAACGGGAUUAGAUACCCCGGUAGUCCUAGCCGUAAACGAUGGGCACUAAGUAGAGGGGUUUU
rnacentral:rRNA from 1 species